GCAGCCGGCCGGUCUGUCGCUCGUCACCCUUUGUGGACGGGAGGAAAGUCCGGGCAACACAGAGCAUCCCACUUCCUAACAGAAAGCUGUCCGCGAGGGCGGAGUAACGUAGAAGAAAAGAACCGCCCGGGUAGCUUUAUUUUUGAAGCUACCCCGGGUAAGGGUGAGAAGGUGGGGUAAGAGCCUACCGGUCUUGUGGCAACACAAGAGCCGUGCGUCUUGGGAGUUGCAAGGUCAUGUAAACCGGUGCUUGAGGGUUGCUCGCCCGAUGCCGGAGGGUAGACCGCUAAAGCCGUAUGGUGACAUGCGGCGCAGAUAAAUGACAGACACCUUAUUAUAUAUAAGGAACAGAACCCGGCUUACAGGCCGACUGCACAU
rnacentral:RNase_P_RNA from 1 species